UCCCUUUGACAGUAAAAUUAGUGCACAGCAUUAUUGGACAUGAGGAACAGCAGCUGCCAACUAAGAGCUGGGUUCAAUGAUGAAGGUAAAUUACCAACUCUGCCUGGUCCCUGGUUGUUCUCAUGAAGCCUAUUUUACUUCCUGAUAUGCUGAUCAAAUAUGCUGGUAUUUGAAGUGAGACCAAGUAUGACAGUAGCCAUGUGACUACACAGUGAUGAACAGGAGCAGCAAGCCCUACAUCAGGCAGACCAAGCAAGGGAUCCCCUGAAGGUUGCAAUUCAGGUGACUACAUGGAUGCACCAAGUGUGCCACGUGGGCAAGAUCUCACACAACUGGACGACUGCUAGCGCUGAAGCCAACCGCCUCUACACUCAGGAACCACACCUGAGAAUGGAAGGCAGGGAAAGGAGAUGCAUCCUUCCAUGGAGUCAAAUACCUAGGAGGCAGGUAACUCUUUCAGACCAGAAACUAGAAUCAGGAGGGAGGUCCUGUGCGAGAAAAAGAGGCCUUUCUUCUAGGUGUAAUUGCAGAGAGGCCAAGGUGUCCAGGAGGAACCUGAUGGUGGGAAAUUGGCUGGGACGACAUAAGAAGACAAGCCAGAAGCAUUCUCUCUUUGGGGUCCCGUAUGUAAAGGGAAUGGACCAUGAGCCUUGAGGACAAAGGGGAAGCCAUGGUGGUAUUAGAGCUUAUUUCUAUUUCUAUUCCGUGUUUAGUUACCCGUUCAUCUCCACUGCCACCCUCUAAAGUCUUGCUAGGUCUAGCCUGUCUCCACAAUAAUGGAAUCUAAACUUACUGAGCAUAGAUCCAAACUACGUGCCGGACACUGUAUAAAGGCACCUGACAACGGGAGCGACCUCCCCCGUGGGUCGGACCUGGAUCAGCCACGGCGACGCACCAGCUUCUAAGUCUAGGACUCAGUUUUGGAGGCAUUAGUACUUCCUUCCACAGGCAAUGUGAGGUCCAAAUAGGAGACGAUAUAGAAUCUGGAAGUUGAGAAAAGCAAAUGAGGUCCACACAGGAAAAAACUGGUGGGAACAGGAGGGUUCAAGGCAAUGUAUUCAAAGAAAAUGCUGCUGAAAACAGCAGUUCCAGGGGACAAAGAAUAGAGAAUAUUCUGGAAAGGAGGGCAUUGUACAUCUAAGGAGAACACACAGUAUGCUAACAGCAUUGGGCGUCUGAAAUUAUACACUGGUUGCCUGAGUCUUUCAUGUUUUAUUUUUUUAAGGUUAUUUGUAUUGAUUUAUUUAGGUAAUCUCUACACCCAGUAUGGGCUUGAACUCAGGACCCAGAGAUCAAGAGUCACAUGCCCUUCCGACUGAGCCAGCCAGGCGCCCCUGAAUCUUUUAUUUUUUUUAUUUUUUAUUUUUUAAGAUUUUACUUAUUUAUUUGAGAGAGAGAGAGAGAAAAAAAAACAGCAUGAGAGGGGAUAGGGUCAGAGGGAGAAGCAGGCUCCCCGCUGAGCCGGGAGCCCGAUGUGGGACUCGAACCCAGGACUCCGGGAUCAUGACCUGAGCCGAAGGCAGUCGCUUAACCAACCAAGCCACCCAGGCGCCCCCUGAAUCUUUUAUUUUUAAUAUCCAAUCCACUGUACUUAAAUCUAGUUUGGAAGUAAGUAGCUUCUUCUAUUCUGUCAAGAACCACUACCUUAAACAAACCAUUCUACAUUUUCCAAACUGGUUUUGGGGGCACUAGAAAUAUUUGCUGGCUUCACAGCAUUUCAAAAGGAUUGUCUUAUGAUAGUUCUUGCAAGUGGAUCAUUUAUUGCCGCCGCUGCUUCGAAUUCAUCUGGAAUGCACUCCGGUGUCCUCAAAUGCACCAAGAACAGGAGAUGAGGACACGGACACACACACACACAGGGAAGACCAUGUGAAGAUACAAGGAGAACACAGCCAUCUACAAACCAAGGAGGGAGGGGCCCCCGAAAGAAACCAACCCUGCUGACCCCUUGAUCUUGGACUUCCAGCCUCCAGAACUGAGGAAAUAAAUUUUUGUAGUUUCCCACCACCCAGUC